UACGUAGGCAGCGAGCGUUGUUCGGAGUUACUGGGCGUAAAGGGUGUGUAGGCGGUUGUUUAAGUUUGGUGUGAAAUCUCCCGGCUCAACUGGGAGGGUGCGCCGAAUACUGAAUGACUUGGAGUGCGGGAGAGGAAAGUGGAAUUCCUGGUGUAGCGGUGAAAUGCGUAGAUAUCAGGAGGAACACCGGUGGUGUAGACGGCUUUCUGGACCGUAACUGACGCUGAGACACGGAAGCGUGGGUAGCAAACAGG
rnacentral:rRNA from 1 species